CUAGAAGAAAUUGCUAGAGAAGAUUGAAGUUAUUCUUACGCUUGACAUUACUAAUGUCUGCAGGGAUGCCUCUUUGAUGGCGAUGAGGCGGCGUAUUAACGGUUUAAGCCCUGAAGAGAUCCGUGCGCUAUCUAAAGAAGAACUUCAAAUGCCUGUCACCAAGGGGGACUUUGACCUAGCUCUGAAGAAAAUCUCUAAGUCUGUCUCGGCUGCGGAUUUGGAGAAAUAUGACAAGUGGAUGGCAGAAUUUGGAUCUGCUUAACCUUGGGGAUGUCUCUUCCCAGCGGAUUGUAGCUUUCCCAUUUUAGAAUGUUAACAAGGCAUAGAGAUCUUCAAGUUUAACUAUGGACAAGAGACCCCUUUUAAACCUUUUUUUUUUUGCACUUUAAAGGGAACAAAAUAAAAAUAUUACACAGUGAGAUCAUGGUAUUUCAUGGAUAACUACUGAAACCUGUGAAACGUAGCAAGGGAAACCCUCUGCAUUUGAGGCUGCCUGCACUUUAACUGCGAACGCCAGUGUCCUGAUUUUCACGUGCUAAUCUUUCAAGGCUGUUAUCUGCCCACCAGAUAUGGGAUUGUGCGGGGGGGGGGGGGGGGGGGAGCCUUCAGCCUGCUUUUGAUAUAUGCUUGUGAUGCUAGGACAUAGUGUAUGCCUAGUUAUAACUCCAUUUCAUGCCACUCGAAUGUAAAUCGCAAGUUUUUAUUCUGCAUUUCUCCCUCCAUUAGGGAGUUCUUCAGUAUGAUCUAAGAUUAGAACAAAAUACUGAGGUUUGCUUUACACUGCAGUCAUGUUGCCAUGGCUACACUGGUAUUUGCUGGAACACAAUUAAACACCAUACUGUAAAAGGGAGACUCGUGUCUCUGUGCAAUAGAUAUAUGUUCAUUGCUGUGACCAGCUGUACCUCUUUGAUGCAUUCCGUUGCUGCAUGGAAAUUUAAGUUUCCCUCUCAUGUUUAUUGCAGCUAGCUUGGGUUUAACCGUGGCCACCGUAAUUGUUGUGUAAAGUGUGAAGCAGCAGUGGAGACCUUUUAAAAAAGCAGGUAAUGAUGCAAAAAUCUCAGGGCUGAUUUUCCUGUUAUUUCCAUUUUAUACUGGUGUUACAUACAUUGCUUUUAUGGAAUACAGUGCCAUUCGAUUUGUCACUCGUGACACCAUUUUAAGCAAGAGGGAAGAUUUAGCUUGCAGUCUUUUGGCUCGCUUGAGGCCUGCUUCAUUCUGGAGGUUACAGGGGAUUAACCUGCCAAUGCUAAAUUAAACCAGUGCAGAUCUUGCUCUGGGUGGCCAGCCUGUCUUUUGCUUUUAGAAUACCUUUUCCUUUUGUCAGUUGCAUCUUUGAUGCAGUAUGGGAUACUGAAGUGAAACACAGGGCAACCUAAAUUUGAAAGCAUAGAUCGAUCGUUUUUUUGCAUCUAAGAAUAUUCUGUUCCCUACCACUUAGUACAUCUAGAGUUGUCUAACAUUUUUGUGUGUUUCUACACAUUUUAGCAUUUUGCCCUUCAAAUACGAUCAUUUCAACAUAUCUGGUACAUAUGAAAGGGUUGUUUUAAUUGUAAUUGGGCCCUCAAAGAUGUAAUGCAAAAUUGGCUUUUUAAAGUGAUUAUGCUUAGGUAAAUGCAGGUAUGGAAUUGGUUAUCCAAAUUAUUUUUAGUGAAAAAUCCCUGAUCAGAAUUACCAAUGGGUCCUGUUUUUAGAUUCAGCUCCAAAAAACCUGUAGACUGCCAAGUCCAAGCUACCAUUUCCACUUGAAUAAGUUAUUUAAUUCCUAGAGUACCAGUUGUUGUGCUUAAAUGAGAUCUAUCUAGCUAUUUUGUGAAUUAAUUGUUUAACUGACCAAUAGUUGUUUCCUUGUAUUUUGGCAGCCUACCCCACAAAAUAAUUUGUGUUUGAAAAGUUUUCAUUUUGGGUUUAAAAAACGGCGUUUUUAAAGUGUCCAGCUUGCUGAUUCAGUAUUCUUUAUUCUUGGCACCUGCAAGCUACAUGGGAAUUUUACUAGUAGACCAAGGACUAACACAAUCUACGUGGGUGAUCUAGUCUUAUGGUGUGUGGCCUGUUACACAGCUGGUUUUUGCAAUUGUUUUGUCUUAGAUUCUUUACUUGUUUCUAUUUGUAUUUUAUUUUAUUUUUUGCACAGAAGGCAUCUUGAGUUGAGACUGUGAAUAGUACAUUGUGUUUCCAACAAAUGGCAUCUGUACCUUGAGAGGAAGUAAUCACAAUAAAUGUCCUAAUGAUGA